rnacentral:rRNA from 1 species
UGUAAGCGUAUACCAAAGUUGUUGCAGUUAAAACGCUCGUAGUCGGAAUUUGGCAGUUCCGGAUGUGUGCACGUCGUGUGCGCACUUCGCGGGGAUUGCUUUUGUGGUCUUGCGUAGGAUGAGGCACUUUUAUUAGUGAACGUCCUCACGCAUCCACUUUUUACUGUGAGAAAAUCAGAGUGCUCAAAGCAGGCAUUUGCCGUGAAUGUAUUAGCAUGGAAUAAUAGAAUAGGACUUGGUUCUAUUUUGUUGGUUUGUUGGGACUGAGUAAUGAUUAAGAGGGACAGUUGGGGGCAUUUGUAUUUCGGUGCUAGAGGUGAAAUUCUUAGAUUACCGAAAGACAAACUGCUGCGAAAGCGUCUGCCAAGGAUGUUUUCAUUGA